AGAGUUUGAUCAUGGCUCAGGAUAAACGCUGGCGGCGUGCUUUAUGCAUGCAAGUCGAACGGUCUGGUGAAUCGAGCCUGCUUGGUACACCAGAUAGUGGCAAACGGGUGAGUAACGCGUAAGUAACCUGCCCCUAAGUAAGGAAUAACUCUGAGAAAUUAGAGCUAAUACCAUAUAUGGUGAUAGAGGUAAUACUCCAUUACUAAAGCCUUCGGGCGCUUAGGGAGGGGCUUGCGUCCGAUUAGCUAGUUGGUAGGGUAAUGGUCUACCAAGGCGAUGAUCGGUAGCUGGUUUGAGAGGACAUCCAGCCACACUGGGAUUGAGAUACGGCCCAGACUCCUACGGGAGGCAGC
rnacentral:rRNA from 1 species